UCCGUAGGUGAACCUGCGGAGGGAUCAUUACAAGAACGCCCGGGCUUCGGCCUGGUUAUUCAUAACCCUUUGUUGUCCGACUCUGUUGCCUCCGGGGCGACCCUGCCUUCGGGCGGGGGCUCCGGGUGGACACUUCAAACUCUUGCGUAACUUUGCAGUCUGAGUAAACUUAAUUAAUAAAUUAAAACUUUUAACAACGGAUCUCUUGGUUCUGGCAUCGAUGAAGAACGCAGCGAAAUGCGAUAAGUAAUGUGAAUUGCAGAAUUCAGUGAAUCAUCGAAUCUUUGAACGCACAUUGCGCCCCCUGGUAUUCCGGGGGGCAUGCCUGUUCGAGCGUCAUUUCACCACUCAAGCCUCGCUUGGUAUUGGGCAACGCGGUCCGCCGCGUGCCUCAAAUCGUCCGGCUGGGUCUUCUGUCCCCUAAGCGUUGUGGAAACUAUUCGCUAAAGGGUGUUCGGGAGGCUACGCCGUAAAACAACCCCAUUUCUAAGGUUGACCUCGGAUCAGGUAGGGAUACCCGCUGAACUUAAGCAUAUCAAUAAGCGGAG
rnacentral:rRNA from 1 species